UACGUAGGGUGCAAGCGUUGUCCGGAAUUAUUGGGCGUAAAGGGCUCGUAGGCGGUUUGUCGCGUCGGGAGUGAAAUCCACUGGCUUAACUGGUGGCUUGCUUUCGAUACGGGCAGACUGGGAGGUAUGCAGGGGAGAACGGAAUUCCUGGUGUAGCGGUGAAAUGCGCAGAUAUCAGGAGGAACACCGGUGGCGAAGGCGGUUCUCUGGGCAUGUCCUGACGCUGAGGAGCGAAAGUGUGGGGAGCGAACAGG
rnacentral:rRNA from 1 species